GACGAACGCUGGCGGCGUGCUUAACACAUGCAAGUCGAACGGAAAGGCCCCUGAUUGCAGGGGUACUCGAGUGGCGAACGGGUGAGUAACACGUGGGUGAUCUGCCCUGCACUUCGGGAUAAGCCUGGGAAACUGGGUCUAAUACCGGAUAGGACCUCAUGUUGGAUGGUGCGGUGGAACGUUUUUCGGUGUGGGAUGAGCUCUCGGCCUGUCAGCUUGUUGGUGGGGUGAUGGUCUACCAAGGCGACGUUGGCUAGCCGGCCUGAGAGGGGGUACGACCACAUUGGGCCGGAUAGACUGCCCCGAUUCCUCCUGGGGGCAGCAGUGGUGAGUAUUGUACAAUGGGGGCAUGCCUGGUGCGGGGACGCCGCGUGGGGGAGGACUGCCUUCUUGUUGUAAACCCCUUUCGCUAGAGUCGAUGCGCUUUUGUGACGGUACCUGGAAAAGAAGCACCGGCUAGCUACGUG
rnacentral:rRNA from 1 species